ACACUUUCUCCUCAUUCACAUAUAAAUCUUUCACCUUUUACUAAAGAUUUCAGUUAAGAGAAACAUUGACAAGUUUAACUUAUUUUCUGAAGGCUGUGUCUUUGCAAAGCU